AUUGAACGCUGGCGGCAUGCCUUACACAUGCAAGUCGAACGGUAACAGGUCUUCGGAUGCUGACGAGUGGCGAACGGGUGAGUAAUACAUCGGAACGUGCCCGAUCGUGGGGGAUAACGAAGCGAAAGCUUUGCUAAUACCGCAUAAGAUCUAAGGAUGAAAGCAGGGGACCGCAAGGUCUUGCGCGAACGGAGCGGCCGAUGGCAGAUUAGGUAGUUGGUGGGAUAAAAGCUUACCAAGCCGACGAUCUGUAGCUGGUCUGAGAGGACGACCAGCCACACUGGGACUGAGACACGGCCCAGACUCCUACGGGAGGAAGCAGUGGGGAAUUUUGGACAAUGGGCGAAAGCCUGAUCCAGCCAUGCCGCGUGCAGGAUGAAGGCCUUCGGGUCGUAAACUGCUUUUGUACGGAACGAAAAGACUCUUUCUAAUAAAGAGGGUCCAUGACGGUACCGUAAGAAUAAGCACCGGCUAACUACGUGCCAGCAGCCGCGGUAA
rnacentral:rRNA from 1 species